CGCGUAGGCGGUGAAACAAGUCACAUGUGAAAUACCAGGGCUCAACCUUGGGGGGUCAUGUGAAACUGUUUUACUUGAGUGCAGUAGAGGAGAGCGGAAUUCCUGAUGUAGCGGUAAAAUGCGUAGAGAUCAGGAGAAACACCGGUGGCGAAGGCGGCUCUCUGGGCUGUAACUGACGCUGAGGCGCGAAAGCGUGGGGAGCAAACAGGAUUAGAUACCCUGGUAGUCCACGCUGUAAACGAUGAUUACUAGGUGUAGGGGACGCAGGUCUUCUGUGCCGGAGCAAACGCAAUAAGUAAUCCGCCUGGGGAGUACGGCCGCAAGGUUGAA
rnacentral:rRNA from 1 species